rnacentral:lncRNA from 1 species
GGGGAAUAAUGUUUAAUUGGCUCUCCAGAGUCUACUAAUUUUCAGAAUUGGAAACCUAGUGUUUGAUUUGUUCUUUUUAGUCAGUGAGAAGAAAAAACAUCCUUCAUAAAUUCUGAAUGACAAAUUUGCCCAUCCUUUUUUGCAUGUGGUUCCAGCAUCCCAGGGAAUCUAAAGUGUCAUUUCCUCUUUGGAAGAAAGGGAGCACAAAACAUACUAGGCUAUCAUCAAUAUUUGGAAUUCACUCUAUCUUCAGCCCUGCCUCUUAGUAGCCUAGGUUCACAUAAUGUGCCUCUUCCUAAGUUUAAAGAGCCUACUCAAAGCAGAAUUUGAUUGGGUCCCAUCAAGUGCCUAGCAUGAAUGCCAAGAAAUUACUUGAAGUUAUGAAUUACCAUUAUUGUCUCUGAUGAUUUCUCUUAGUUCAGCAAUUGGUAGAGGUUUCUUCAUUAAUUUUUGCUUAGAGUUUCUUAAAUAAUAGGAUAAAAAUAAAUAGAAAAAUACUACUACA